GAUGAACGCUGGCGGCGUGCCUAAUACAUGCAAGUCGAGCGAACGGACGAGAAGCUUGCUUCUCUGAUGUUAGCGGCGGACGGGUGAGUAACACGGGGAUAACCUACCUAUAAGACUGGGAUAACUUCGGGAAACCGGAGCUAAGACCGGAUAAUAUUUUGAACCGCAUGGUUCAAAAGUGAAAGACGGUCUUGCUGUCACUUAUAGAUGGAUCCGCGCUGCAUUAGCUAGUUGGUAAGGUAACGGCUUACCAAGGCAACGAUGCAUAGCCGACCUGAGAGAGUGGUCGGCCACACUGGGACUGGAGAACGGUCCAGACUCCGACGGGGGGCAGCAGUAGGGAAUCUUCCGCAAAGGGCGAAAGCCUGACGGAGCAACGCCGGGUGGGUGGUGGAGGUCUUCGGAUCGUAAAACUCUGUUAUUAGGGGAGAACAUAUGUGUAAGUAACUGUGCACAUCUUGACGGUACCUAAUCAGAAAGCCACGGCUAACUCCGUG
rnacentral:rRNA from 1 species